rnacentral:tRNA from 1 species
AGAAACUUAGGUUAGCCAUUAAACCACGGACCUUCAAAGCCCGAAACAGCGGUUAAACUCCACUAGUUUCUG